CAUGUAGACGUAAGAUAUAAGCGUAAGGAAAACCAGUCGAGUAUUGGAUUUUUCAUAACUUCCACUUUUGUGGAAAAUAAAACUUAAAACGUAACAUCAAAAAAUUUCAUAAGAAUGAAAUUUGUACGGUAUAGGUCUUCUAGACAACCAAUCACAAGUCACGACAGAUUAUGCGCUUUAAUUUGAAAUUUAAUGCUGAAAGUUAGUGAGGUUAUAUGUUUACGAAAUUUAUCUUAGAAAUAUGAGUGAUCAUAAUUAAUAUUGUAAAAUGGUUAAUAAUUUUGGAAAUGAACUUUAAUUAAGAAAAGAAAAAACUUAGUUAAACAUAAUACGUUUUAGGGCAUGAAAUUUGUCACUGUUUAGAAAAUGUGUAUGGCCAGCCUGAUACGUAAUAUAGGCUGAAGCAAUGUAUUAUAUAUUGACAAGCAUUCAUUGAAAAGUAUGAAAUCUUUUGGAUUUUAAUAUAAUGUGAACUUUAAUAUGGCAAAACAAAAGAGCAGCCAAUGUAUUUGAGCGUUUCGAAAAUGACCAAAGGUUAAUAAACCACCGAAAAAACUUCCAAAAAAUGGAUUGGAAAGAAAGUGUCUACCGAGCCAGAAAAAAAGCAUUGAAGGCGUGCAAAAUUUAACAAUAUAACCUUCCAACUACAUUAAAUAUGUGUGGAUCAAGUAUAUAUAAUCUAAUUGUACCAUUCACUAGUAUGGAUGAUUUACAAGAUUCGAAGGUAUCUGCUACAAGUAAGGAUUUAUUUAUUGGUUUGGUUGAACCUAAUGAAUAUAAUUUUUUUAUAAAGAUGGGUAAAUGGUGCUAUCUGUAUAACAGAAAAGCAUCAAAAGCAGAAUAUUUCAUUAUACAGAAUGGACAUCAAUAGAUAUAAUACUUUUGGAAGAAGUAAAUCUGUAAUUAACCUAAAGCAGUUCCUUUAAUGUUUAUGACAUAUCAUUUUGUCAUAAAAGAAGAAGUUGAUGAUUUGUCAUCGGAAAUGUCAUCAAAGCAAACAUGAUUCUAAAUGAUAAUUUUGGAUCAUGUUGAAUAUAUUUUGUCAGAUAUUGAAAACAAAGUUAAAGUUGUUCGAGACACAAUAGAAAAGCACCAUGGCCAUACCUAGGAAUUGGUGCUUCUGAUACCCAUAAUAAAUCCAUAUUACAUGCCAAAACUGGAAUGUGUGGAUAUGGAAUGUCACUGGGCAAUUUACUUGGCAUUCCAUUAGUCAUUAAAAGAUCCACUAUGAGUUGCAACGGAGUUUCCCAAGAUAUUGGUUCACUGAAUAACAGGAUACCUUCUAUUUUUGGAAAAUUAGAAUCUAUUGGUCCACACUGUGGAUUUCUCUUUAACAUAUUGACAUAAUCCAAACUUGGAAAAUUUUUCACGAGUUCUUCGAUCGUCAUAGUUUUCUUAAAACCCAACUCUUUGGCUAUUUCUCUGACUGGACCUUGUCCUGAUAUAAGAACAUGCUUGUCAUGAAGGUCAUGAAACAUUUGCAAUGGAGAAUGAGCUAAGAUAACUUGUGAUUCUGAUAUUUCAAAUCCAAUCCAUUUGGAUAAAUCGGCUGCUUUUUGACUACGUAAAGCAUUUCCACUGUUUGUAACAAAGACAGUAGGAACACGAAAUUUGCCAUCCUCUCCUCUAAGUUUUUUAAAGGAUUCUACAACUGGUGGUAAAACAUUUUUACCACGUACUAUAACUCCAUCGAUGUCAAAUAAUAAACCAAACUUUGGUUUAGUGCUUAAGUUCUGAAAAUAAAAUAAAUAGAUAAAUUUUAUAUAACAUCUUAGAAGUUAUGAUUAUUUUGCUCAGAUUGCAUUGUAUUUAUAUCAUGCUUUAUGUCAGAAUAAGACUUUGAAAUACAUUUCAAUGCCACUGAGUAAAUAUAAAAAUAUACUUACCUUGUUGGUAAAGACAUUAGGUAAGUAUAUUUUUAUACCAAAUGGCGAAAUACAUACAGUGUGUGUGUAUAUAUACAUUCGAACACGCGCGCGCGCACGCACACUCACACACAGAGUAUAAUCAAAGUCCAAAAGACCCAUGCACAUUUUUACAAAUAGAAAAGAUAAUAGAUUUUUAAAUCUUAAAGAACUAAAUAGGUCAUUAUGUCAGUAAUUCUACUUGUAUUUUAUCACUUUUACUUUAUUAUACAUUUUGUUGUUACAAUAUUGUUACAAAACAAUGCUAUAUAUAUUAAAAUACAAUAUAAAGAAAUAAAAGUAAACAAUUAAAAAGAUAAAAGACAUUCAAAUAUAAAAUAAGAAAGAAAGAUAACAUAAUGAUGCAUAAAUAAAGAUAAAAAACGAACGAAUAUUACAGAAUAAUACAAAUAAAAUUACUCGAAAUGAUUGAAGAGAAGCUAAUUUCAAAUAACGAUAUGAUACUUGUAUCAUAUUGAUUGGAUAUAUUGUUCGGAAAAGCCAAAAAAUUAAAAAAAAAAAACAAGCGAAUGUAUGUACUGUGUAAAUUCAAGGGUAGGGCAGGAGACGAAACAAAUUGAAUGAUGACAACGUAAACUUACUCUGACUCCGAAAGCCCUCGCGAUACCCGAUCGUAAUAAUAUUUUCAUUAUUACUAAUUUAAUCACAACAAUUAAAAAAUAAAAAACGAGAGCUUAUGAGUAUCUAAAAAUUUCUUUUUAUAUGUUUAACUUUCAAACACUACGUUGCGUAGAUGUAUUAUUCAUAGUGCCAAAGUGUUUUGAGGUUAUAGUCGAUCUACAAAAUCAACCAAACUUACGCUACGUUGUGAUCGUAGUUUUCAAAGGAGCUUCACCAUACAUCACACUGAACCACCUCGUAAUAGCGCAAACGAAAUCCAUCAAAUAUCUUGGGCUGCCACUUGGACUCUAAACUUACUUAAAAACAGUGUAUAUAUAUAUAUAUAUAUAUAUAUAUAUAUAUAUAUAUAUAUAUACACAUAUAUAUAUAUAUAAAAUGUAUGUAUGGCUUACCAGUAAACAUUCUAAAUUAUCACCUAAAAAUAUACUAUUGCUAUAUAAAGCAAUAAUUAAACCUAUUUGGACUUACGGUAUACAACUUUGGGGUAUGGUAGCCAAGAGUCAUAUUCAAAAGUUAGAAUCACUACAAGCUAUAAUCUUUAGUACGUUUAUUAUGCUCUAUGGUACAUAUACAAUAACGAUAUUCAUAAAGAUCUAAACAUGUUAUCGAUUUCUGACGAAAUUAGGGGACUAUGUGAAAUUUAUAAAAAUUGACUUGAACAACAUCACAACGCUACUGCAAAAGAACUAUACUCCUUCGAACAACUUUGAAUAACAUAGAAGACUAUGUAAGAAACAUUCCAUUGAUCUACUACAUAGUCUAUAAACAUCAUUAAACUAUACUAUCAUAACUGUACCUAGCAUAUAUAUUUUAUGCUUCUCCAUGGGUUAAGUGUUAUAAUCAACUGUUAAAAUAAUUUACUGAAUGUCCUAGCUGGACAAAUUGUAAAGAAUAGUGGUCGAAACAAAAAAAAAAUUAUUUAUAUGAAUAGUAACAAUUUAUUAUUUAAGAAUUAGUAACAAUUUAAUGUUUAAGAAUGUGCGCGCGCGUGUGUCUAUAAUUUAUAUAUAUGCAUAGAAUAUUUUCUAAAAAGAGAGAAAGAGAAAACGAGAUUUUUUAAAAGUAAUUUCCAUGAAGAAAUCUUUCUUAAAUAAGAACUAGAAUAAGUAUUAUAAGUAUUUGUAUUUCUAAUUUUAUAUCAUAGUAAAUAUAAUUAAGCAUUAAUAUUUUGUAUUGUAUAUAUUUAAUAUUUGAUGGAUUAUAACGAUAAUGUUAUAGUUUCUAAUUUUAUCCUUAAGAACAUUGUGUGUAGAACAACUUAAUAUUCUUAUUUUUCUAAUAUACAUAAAAAAGAAUCAAUAAUAAUUAAAAAUAUAUAUUCACUUAUAUUAAGAUCUUGAUUUCCAUCAUUAUUGUUAUAUGUAGUGAUACACAUAAAAGGUGAUACAAAUAAAAAUUGAGUAGCUCCAAGGGAGGCAUAUUUUGAUGUUAUUAGUUUUUUUGUAGGUUGAUGCAUAAAAAUCAUAUGAAGGUCAACUUUGUUUCUGAAAGUGGAAUCAUAUAUUUUUUAAUUUAUUAAUUGAUAUAUUUAUUAAUAAAUUUAACAUUCUCAGCUCACUUUAUAAAAAAAUAUUAAUUCAUAUAUCGAAAAAUUCUUAGUUUAGGAAAUAUUUUAAUUUAAAUAUUGCUAAAAAAUUAUCACUCUUAUUACUUGUUUACUAUUGUUACUCCUACUACCUUUUAGUAUUUACUAAAUAUCAUGUACAUGGUUUCUUAGCAAUAUUAAAAUUAAAAUAUCUCCUAAGCUAAUGGUCUUUCGGCAUGAAUAAGUUAAUAGUUUUUUAUAGAGAAUAUAGAGAUGGAUUGACUAAUACAUUAAAGAUUAUAUGAUCCCUGUUAUAUUUUACAGUGUAACUGUUAUAUUUUACUGUAUAAAUAUUCCUCGAAAGGAAUUAGAGAUUUUUUGAAGUGAAACUUAUAAUUUGUAUGAUGAAAUUUGUAAUUUAAGAGAGAUAAAUACUUUUAUUUAUACGUACAAGUAUUAAUGAUGAAAUGUUAUAAGUUUGGUAAAUUAAUUCAUUCUACUAGGGAUUAUUACUUAUUUAUUAUUGAAGGUUCUGCUAUAAGAAUGGAAAUAGUGAGAUCUGUGGUCUUACAGAAUUUUUGUAAUUUUUUAUAUUUAUAGCAGGUAAAGGUCUUGAUGCAGACUUUAAUUUGAAACUACAGUAACACGUACUUCUUAGCUGUGUUCAAAAAAAUUGAUUGAUGAAAAAUGCAGAGUAACUUAUAACAUAUCUGAGGAGUAGAUGUUAAUCCUUUAAUGUCAUCUUUCUUAAAUAAGAACUAGAACAAUAAAAAAAUAUGGAAAAAUUAUUUUUCCUAUAUAUAUAUCAUAUAUAUAUAUAUACAAGAUCUUUUUGAAACAUACUUAGAAUAUGAUGAAACUUGUCAACAUAUUAUUACAUUUAUUCCACGCGUCAGCUAUUUUGUUUGCAAAGAUUAAUGGAAACCUGCAUGUAAUUGAAAGAAAAUAAAUUUUAUUUUCACUAAAAUAAUCAGUUUUGUUUGAAAAUAUUAUUUCACUAAUUACGGUCAAAAGUUAAUUUGUUCUUUAUUAAAAAAUUAUAAGAUGCCACAGGCAUUAUGUAAAAAAUUUAUUUCACCGCAAUAUAAUUUGACUUGCACUAAUUUUAUCAUUGAUUAAAUAUUGAGUUCAAACUUUGAUUCUAAUAUUUGUUUUAAACAUUUCUUCUAAAUUUUCUGAUUUUAAACUGAUAAUUCUCUCAGUCACUUUAUGUACUCUUCAACUAGCUUCCCAAAACUACCUUAUAUCAACAAAGUAUUAAAAUUUUGAUAUGGAGAUACAUGAUUCAAUGCAUAACAUUCUUGUAAUCGUUGGAUUACAGAUUUGAAUCUGUCAGUACUAUUCUUUUUUAUUCUUCUGUUUUUUAUUCAUUUUAAUACUUAGA